CAGAUUGCAGUCUGCAACUCGACUGCAUGAAGUCGGAAUCGCUAGUAAUCGCGGAUCAGCAUGCCGCGGUGAAUACGUUCCCGGGCCUUGUACACACCGCCCGUCACACCAUGAGAGUCGGGAACACCCGAAGUCCGUAGCCUAACCGCAAGGGGGCGCGGCCGAGGGUGGGUUCGAUAAUUGGGGUGAAGUCGUAACAAGGUACC
rnacentral:rRNA from 1 species